CGUAGCUUUUAGUUUAAUUAUAUUCUAAAUUACAGUAAUAAAAAUUUUAGUAUGUGGUAAACUGUAUCACACUUUUAUGUUCAAUAUGGCCUGCUAUAACGCUUUUAGUAUAAAAUAGUAGUUCUUGAAUGGCAUAAAAACUUGGCAACAGUUUCGCAACAACUUCGCAACAACUUCGCAAAAUCAUUUAAAAGAACUUUUGUUUAAGUUUAGUGUAAAAUAUUUAAUGAAUUUUCUUGAACUGAUUCUUACAUAGGGCAACAAAAUGUGGUAAACUGUAUCACACUUUUAUGUUCAAUAUGGCCUGGCUUGAAACCAAAUUUACUAAAUUGAUUGAAUCAAAAUUUGAAAUGGUUAUAUAAUGUGCUAUAUAAAUAAAAUUUUAAACUGAUACUUUUUCUUUUGCAACUCUUUUAUUCUUUUAUAAAAGUAAAAUCUAAAUAUUAAACAAGAGUUUUUAACUUUAGUAGGUGUUAUCUUUAUUGCAAGAAGAAUUUACCCAAUACAAUAUAAGGAACAUAUUUAACGUGAAUAUCGUUAAGAAUCGGAAUAUAAUUUUAACCAUUAAUAGAAAGUAUUAAAAAAAUAUAAUUAAAAUCACCUUGAACGUGUUAUAUUCGCGUGGUAUGUAAUUAAAAUCAUCUUGAACGAAAUAAAAUCAUUCAAUCAAAGAUCAACAAGCAAACUCAAACAAAGCAUUUUUAAAUUGUAAUUAAUGAGAUUAACAAACCGUCACAUUAGAAUUAUAGGGUUCUAUCUGCCUUUUUUUAUUUUGUAAGAACUUAACUUUCAAUAUCUACUUAAUACAUGUUUUACAGCUGUUAUUCAUUAUAAUUGUAAUUAUAAGUUGUUUAUGUUAUCUGUUAAAAAUGUUAAAAAAUGAUAUAUAAUAUAUCAUUUUUUAAGUGGUAUGUUUUUAUUAUUAAUUAUUAAUUAAAACUUUGGUUGUUAAACUCUUUUAACAUAAAACACGGCAGAUAGAACCCUAUAAUUCUCAUGCGACGAAAAGUCAACCUUAAUGCUUUUUACAACAAAGCCUUUUUAAAUUGUAAUUAAUGAAAUUACCAAGUGUCAACCUUAAUGGC